rnacentral:rRNA from 1 species
AUUGAACGCUGGCGGCAGGCCUAACACAUGCAAGUCGAACGAGUGGCGUACGGGUGAGUAAUUUCUGGGAACCUGCCUGAUGGAGGGGGAUAACUACUGGAAACGGUAGCUAAUACCGCAUACCAUCAGAUGUGCCCAGAUUGGAUUAGCUUGUUGGUGGGGUAACGGCUCACCAAGGAGACGAUCCCUAGCUGGUCUGAGAGGAUGACCAGCGACGCUGGAACGGAGACGCGGUCAAGACUCCUACGGGAGGAAGGAGUGGGGAAUAUUGCACAAAGGGCGGAAGCCAGAUGCAGCCGUGCCGCGUGUAUUAAGAAGGCCUUGGGGUUAGAAAGUAGUUUCAGCGGGGAGGCGUUACCCGCAGAAGAAGCACCGGCUAACUCCGUGCCAGCAGACGCGGUAAGAC